CUGCAGCCCGAGUGGUGAUCGAUUUUAUUGAGCCUAAAGCGUCCGUAGCCGGACUAGUAAACCCUUGGGUAAAUUGGGCAGCUUAACUGUCCAAAUUCCGAGGGGACUGCUAGUCUUGGGACCGGGAGAGGUCAGAGGUACUCCAGGGGUAGGGGCUAAAUCCUGUAAUCCUUGGGGGACCACCAGUGGCGAAGGCGUCUGACUAGAACGGAUCCGACGGUAAGGGACGAAACCCUGGGGCGCAAACCGGAUUAGAUACCCGAGUAGUCC
rnacentral:rRNA from 1 species